UCCGAUUUCUAGAGAAACUCCUACUCCCAG
rnacentral:piRNA from 1 species